GACAGAGGGUGCAAACGUUGUUCGGAAUUACUGGGCGUAAAGCGCGUGUAGGCGGCCCUGCAAGUCGGGUGUGAAAUCCCACGGCUCAACCGUGGAAGUGCACUCGAAACUGCAGGGCUAGAGUCCUGGAGAGGAAGGUGGAAUGCUUGGUGUAGGUGAAAUUCGUAGAUAUCAAGCGGAACACCGGUGGCGAAGGCGGCCUUCUGGACAGUGACUGACGCUGAGACGCGAAAGCGUGGGGAGCAAACAGG
rnacentral:rRNA from 1 species